AUCCAACCGACGAGUCCCAAAUAAGACGAAACUCACGUUUUGGAU
rfam:Schistosoma margrebowiei strain Zambia genome assembly, scaffold: SMRZ_scaffold0000927